rnacentral:rRNA from 1 species
UACGAAGGGGGCUAGCGUUGUUCGGACUUACGGGGCGUAAAGCGCACAUAGGCGGCUCUGUAGGUUGGGGGUGAAAUCCCGAGGCUCAACCUCGGAAUUGCCUUCAAGACUGCAGGGCUUGAGUUCGGGAGAGGUGAGUGAAAUUCCCAGAGUAUAGGUGAAAUUCGUAGAGAUUGGGAAGUACACCAGUGGCGAAGGCGGCUCACUGGCCCGUAACUGACGCUGAGGUGCGAAAGCGUGGGGAGCAAACAGA